rnacentral:lncRNA from 1 species
GCAAAUGUUCAGCUGUGAAAUGAGUAAGUACAACAUGUGAAUCUACUGCACAGAAUGCUCACUAUAGUUAAUUGCACUGUGUUUCUGUAUACUUGGAAUUUCCUGAGAGUAAAUCUUAAGUGUUCUCACCCCACAGACACAAGUUGGUAAUUGUGACUUGAUAGGAGUGUCAGUUACUUUAUUGUGACAAUUGUUACACAGUGUAGACAUCUGUCAGAUAAUCCCGCUGUACACUGCAUAUGAACACCAUUGUUAUGCAUCAGUUAUAUAAUUCAGGAAAGCUGGGAAAGAAAAAGGAAGUGGAGGUGCGCUGGGCUUGCCUCUGAGUGGUGCUCAACCCAAGCUUCACGUUAUUAGAUCAAUCAGGCAUUCUGCAUAUACAUGUUUUAUACCCUCAGACCAGAAAUUCCCAUUCAUUCAGUCUGUGUGGGGUUCAACCUCAUUAAUAUUUAAGGAGCCCCAGGUGAUUCCAGUCUGGGUCCCUCACUGAGCAUCCUGACUGAAUCCUCCCAUCCUGAGGGCUGGGAUACGGGCUGAGGGGGAGGGGGCUCUGCUUUGCAUGGAGAUGGAUCAGGGCCUGGUCUGUGACCUGAAGGGGGCUGUUGGGUCCAGCUGAGGCGCCCACUGCUGCCGAGUAGGGGAGGGGCUCACCAGGAGGGGAGGGUGAUCUGAGGACAGUGUGGGGAAACUCCCUUGUUUGUCUGUGUGUGGAGUUUCCUGUCCUGAGUCCCUCCUGUGACAGCGGGCAGCAGAGGACUGUGUUCUACGUGGUGGGGUCUCCCUUGUGUGUGUGGUUGUGGCACAGGAAGGGGUGUGUUGAUUCUCAGCAUUAAGCUGCAUCUUUCCAACUUUCAAACUGAGUUCUCAAGACUCAUGUUGCAUGAGGAAGAAGCCCAGGAGAGGAGGAAGAGGAGAGAAAAGAGGUCAGGAAUGGCUCUGUCUCAGGUUCCUGUUAAAGAGAAUAUACCUGCCUACUAAAU